GACAGAGGAUGCAAGCGUUAUCCGGAAUGAUUGGGCGUAAAGCGUCUGUAGGUGGCUUUUUAAGUCCGCCGUCAAAUCCCAGGGCUCAACCCUGGACAGGCGGUGGAAACUACCAAGCUGGAGUACGGUAGGGGCAGAGGGAAUUUCCGGUGGAGCGGUGAAAUGCGUAGAGAUCGGGAGGAACACCUGUGGCGAAGGCGGCCGGCUGGGGGUGCCCUCACGCUGAGGCGCGAAAGCGUGGGGAGCGAACCGG
rnacentral:rRNA from 1 species